rnacentral:rRNA from 1 species
AGUGAACGCUGGCGGUAGGCCUAACACAUGCAAGUCGAACGGCAGCACAGUAGGAGCUUGCUCUUACGGGUGGCGAGUGGCGGACGGGUGAGGAAUACAUCGGAAUCUACUUUUUCGUGGGGGAUAACGUAGGGAAACUUACGCUAAUACCGCAUACGACCUACGGGUGAAAGCAGGGGAUCUUCGGACCUUGCGCGAUUGAAUGAGCCGAUGUCGGAUUAGCUAGUUGGCGGGGUAAAGGCCCACCAAGGCGAGGAUCCGUAGCUGGUCUGAGAGGAUGAUCAGGCGCAGAAGGACUGAAACACUGUCCAGAAGCUUUAAGGGCGCCGCUACGGGGAAAGUUAGAAUAAUGGGCGAAACCUUCAGCAGGCAAAUCGGGUCGAACCAGAAAGACGUCUGGUUGUUAAGGCCGUAUGAUAGGAAAGAAAAGGAAGAGGGUAAAUCCCCACGGUUAUUACCUUAACCAAAGAAUAAGCACCGGCUAACUUCGUG